AUGAUGGCGGAGACCAAGGCAGCGUCUGUGGCGGCGGAGGAGGGGAGGAGCAAGACGGUGGUGCUGGUCGCCGUGGACGACAGCGACCACAGCUACCGCGCGCUCGAGUGGGCCGUGCGUUACGUGGCGGAGAUGGCCGGCGCCGGGGCGCCGACGGAGCUCGUCAUCGUGCACGCCAAGCCGUCCCCUUCCCCCGUGGUCACCAUGGGUGGCCCCGGCGUGUCCGGCGACGUGGUGAGGUUAGUGGAGGCGGACCUGCGCAAGAAGGCCGAGGGCGUCGUCGACAGGGCGCGCCGCCUCUGCGUCGCCAACUCGGUGCAGGGCGUGGUGGAGGUGGUCGACGGGGAGCCGAGGCACGUCCUGUGCAACGCCGUCGAGAAGCACCACGCCGAUCUGCUCGUCGUCGGCAGCCAUGGCUACGGCGCCAUCAAGAGGGCAUUGCUCGGGAGCGUGAGCGACUACUGCGCCCACCAUGCGCACUGCUCAGUGAUGAUAGUCAAGCAGCCCAAGUCCAAGAACUGA
rnacentral:rRNA from 1 species